rnacentral:rRNA from 1 species
GAUGAACGCUGGCGGCGUGCCUAAUACAUGCAAGUCGAGCGACCAGACGAGGAGCUUGCUCCUCUGACGUUAGCGGCGGACGGGUGAGUAACACGUGGAUAACCUACCUAUAAGACUGGGAUAACUUCGGGAAACCGGAGCUAAUACUGGAUAAUAUAUUGAACCGCAUGGUUCAAUAGUGAAAGACGGUUUUGCUGUCACUUAUAGAUGGAUCCGCGCCGCAUUAGCUAGUUGGUAAGGUAACGGCUUACCAAGGCGACGAUGCGUAGCCGACCUGAGAGGGUGAUCGUCCGCACUAGUACUGAGACACGGUCCAGACUCCUACGGGAGGCAGCAGUAGGGAAUCUUCCGCAAUGGGCGAAAGCCUGACGGAGCAACGCCGCGUGGUUGAUGAAGGUCUUCGGAUCGUAAAACUCUGUUAUUAUGGAAGAACAAAUGUGUAAGUAACUAUGCACGUCUUGACGGUACCUAAUCAGAAAGCCACGGCUAACUACGUG